UCGUUCAAGAAGUCUUCUGCAACCCAUCAGCCUGCAGACAUCUCUCUUCCAUCCUGAAUUCCUGCCUCUCUGCAUGCCUUUAGUGUAGGAGUGCCUGGCACAUAGCCGGUGCUUAAUAAACUCCUCUUGUUUAAAUGAUUCACUAUUUCAUACAGUUAACGUAUCAAAGCUUACAAAUCAUGUUAUUGUGUUUGGGUCCGUCUACAAGCCUUUAUUUGUGGAGUUUGUGGUGCUGAGACCGAGCACUUUUCAUUCCCAUUCCUCAGGGCACAAACGGAACUCCACUCCCUAAUACUCUCCUCCAGCUCCAUUCCUAUUUUCAGUUCCCAAUUGUCUACUUAUGCACUAGAUGGGUCUCUCAUUAUCUUCUGCUUUUCUUUCCCGUAGAGGAUCUUGGAUUAGUUCCUGCUCCAGUUCUCCCAGCCUCCUCAGCUGAUGAAUUACAAACUCUCUAUUGGUUAUUGUCAAUAUCUUUCCUCCACUUUGAUGAAGAAUAGAAGCCUGAAAAAUGCAUGCCUGGAUCACAGUUACUUUGGAGAUUGUGUAAUGAAGCUCUUGUGUGAAGCCUUGGUAAAUCAGAAUUGUAAACUACAUACUCAGCAAUGAGAGUUUGAAAAUCCUUCACUUGAAGGAUAUUUUAUUUAAGGAUGAUGGGAAGAAGUUGCCAUUUGAGGUCUUGAGAAAAAAGAACUGUCAGCUUGAGACACUAAGGUGAGUCCUCAUAACUGUCCUCUCUUAAAAGCAUGAUUUGAAAGCAGAAAAGUUUAAGAAAGGAACUCCUGAAUUCAGCCAGUAUAGAAUGCCAGAUUUUUUUUUUGCUUUUUGGUGAGGCAAUUGGGGUUAAGUAACUUGCCCAGGGUCACACAGCUAGUAAGUAUUAAGUGUCUGAGGCUGGAUUUGAACUCAGGUCCUCCUGACUCCAAGGCCAGAACUCUAUUCAUUUCUUCACCUAGCUGCCCCUAGAAUGCCAAAUUUGGCAUAGGGUUUUUGUUUAUGUUUUUUUUUU
rnacentral:lncRNA from 1 species